AGUAUUAUGUCUGAUUAAAGUAAUAAAUUGUAAAUUUAUUUAAGAAAAAUGAAUUAUUUCUGAUACUA
rnacentral:tRNA from 1 species